UUCUAUUAGUAAUAAUUAAUAGUACAAUCUGCUCAAUGAAACUUAAAUUGCCGCAAUAUUUGUGCUAAGGUAGCAUAAUCAUUCGUUUUUUAAUUGAAAACUCGAACAAAAGAUUAAACAUUUUAAUUACUUUCUUAUUUUUAAUAUUUUAAUUUAUCUUAUAUGUAAAAAGACAUAUAUUAAUAAGAAAGACGAUAAGACCCUGUUGAACUUAACUUUAGUUAAACUGGGGCAGUUAAUCAAUUAAUAUUUUAGUUUAUUUAAUUAAAUAAAUGACCUAAUAUAAUUAAAUAUAUAAUCAAUGUUACCACAGGGAUAACAGCGUAAUAUUUCUUUAAAGUUCUUAUAAAAAUUAAAGUUUACGACCUCGAUGUUGAAUAAAUAUUCUCUUUCAAGCAAGAUUGAAAUAAGAAAGUCUGUUCGACUAAUAAAAAUUUACA
rnacentral:rRNA from 1 species